UUUUCCUUCCUAUACAGUGGACAUCCACUCACUACAGCAGGUGAACAGGAGCAAAGAUCAACUCAGGGACAAUUUCCCCAAAGAGGCAUUUCCAAUGUGGAUGGUGCUGCUAUGAAUACUGUCAUGUCAAUUCAGUGAAUACUGGUGUCGUUCUACUGAUUGAACUAAAAAGGGUCAAAGCAAAUCAGCCUUUCAAAAAUAAUAAUGUGGACCUAAUUUCACUCCAUUUCUCUUGCUGAGAUUUUUCUACUGUUGCCAAACAGUUAUAAAAUGUAAGGCUUUGAAGAAGCAAGCUACCAUGUUGUGAACCGCCUAUGGGGAAUACCACAGGAAAAGAAAUUGAGGUGGCCUCCCAGGUGAC
rnacentral:lncRNA from 1 species